UCCGCCCCUGGGUGUGGCCAAAAUAAGUUAACAUAUAUGGAAAGGCCAAACCCUAAUAUUGCCAAAGGGAGGAAAAAUAUUUUGAUCCUGCCCUCUUCCAUCAGCUUUCCACUGCCCAUAGCAAAAUCUCCUCCCCUUUCCCUCUUUCUCGGUCCUCCAGUUCAAUAACUUUUGCGAUUCCAAGGUCGUUGAUUCCUUAAACAAUGCCUAUCAAGAAUUUGUUUCUGCCGCCGCUAAUGUACUGGAAACCAAGGCGUCUUGCAAUGGUGAGACGACGGCAGCAGCGGAUGCUGCGUUAGAAAACUUUAAGAAGAAAUGGGAAACGUUCAGAGCGGCUUGUGACCAAGCGGACGAGUUCGUUGAUUCUUUCAAGCAAAGUAUAACAUCCAACACCACAUUCCCUGUUAACGAGGACAUGAUUGAUAUCUUUGACAAUGCCGUAGUUGAUUUUGAUUAGAGAAAGGUGCUGCAUUUUAUUUUCUCAAGCAAAGUAUAUAUAUAUAUAUAUGUUUGGUUUCAAUUUCGAUCUUUGCUUUUCAAGGCAUAAGUAAUUGAGCUCAAUUACUUUGAAUAGAUUUAAUGGGAUGAACAGUGAGUUACUCUUUUACUGUUCAAUUUGAGAAUAUUAUAUGGUAGAGCUCGAGCUCCUUUGGUUUCAACCAGUGAGAAUUUUUUUUU